rnacentral:rRNA from 1 species
UUAAGUUGCAGGGUAUAGACCCGAAACCCGGUGAUCUAGCCAUGGGCAGGUUGAAGGUUGGGUAACACUAACUGGAGGACCGAACCGACUAAUGUUGAAAAAUUAGCGGAUGACUUGUGGCUGGGGGUGAAAGGCCAAUCAAACCGGGAGAUAGCUGGUUCUCCCCGAAAGCUAUUUAGGUAGCGCCUCGUGAAUUCAUCUCCGGGGGUAGAGCACUGUUUCGGCAAGGGGGUCAUCCCGACUUACCAACCCGAUGCAAACUGCGAAUACCGGAGAAUGUUAUCACGGGAGACACACGGCGGGUGCUAACGUCCGUCGUGAAGAGGGAAACAACCCAGACCGCCAGCUAAGGUCCCAAAGUCAUGGUUAAGUGGGAAACGAUGUGGGAAGGCCCAGACAGCCAGGAUGUUGGCUUAGAAGCAGCCAUCAUUUAAAGAAAGCGUAAUAGCUCACUGGUCGAGUCGGCCUGCGCGGAAGAUGUAACGGGGCUAAACCAUGCACC